rnacentral:rRNA from 1 species
CGAGAGGACUGGGAAGCACUGACCCCUGGUGUACCGGUUGUGUCGCUAGAUGCACCGCCGGGUAGCUAAGUCGGGUACGGAUAACCGCUGAAAGCAUCUAAGCGGGAAGCCUCCUCCAAGAUAAGAAUUCCAUUCCCUUCGGGGAAGAAGGGCCCAGAUAGACUAUCUGGUUGAUAGGCUGGGUGUGUAAGCACAGAAAUGUGUUCAGCUAACCAGUACUAACGCCCGAUUACUUGAUCAU